rnacentral:tRNA from 2 species
GUGGCCGUAGCUCAGUUGGUAGAGCACAGGAUUGUGGCUCCUGAUGUCGCGGGUUCGAUUCCCGUCGGUCACCCCA